AUUGAACGCUGGCGGAAUGCUUUACACAUGCAAGUCGAACGGCAGCACGGGGCAACCUGGUGGCGAGUGGCGAACGGGUGAGUAAUACAUCGGAACGUGCCCAAUCGUGGGGGAUAACGUAGCGAAAGUUACGCUAAUACCGCAUACGAUCUACGGAUGAAAGCGGGGGAUCGCAAGACCUCGCGCGAAUGGAGCGGCCGAUGUCAGAUUAGGUAGUUGGUGGGGUAAAGGCUCACCAAGCCAACGAUCUGUAGCUGGUCUGAGAGGACGACCAGCGACACUGGGACUGAGACACGGGCCAGACUCCUACGGGAGGCAGCAGUGGGGAAUUUUGGACAAUGGGGGCAACCCUGAUCCAGCCAUGCCGCGUGAGUGAAGAAGGCCUUCGGGUUGUAAAGCUCUUUCGGCCGGGAAGAAAUCGCACGGGCUAAUACCCUGUGUGGAUGACGGUACCGGAAUAAGAAGCACCGGCUAACUACGUGCCAGCCGCCGCCGUAACAC
rnacentral:rRNA from 1 species